rnacentral:rRNA from 1 species
UGGGGAAUAUUGCGCAAUGGGGGAAACCCUGACGCAGCAAAGCCGCGUGAAGGAUGAAGGUUUUCGGAUCGUAAACUUCUUCGAUGAGGGACGAAGAAUGACGGUACCUCAAAAACAAGCCACGGCUAACUACGUGCCAGCAGCCGCGGUAAUACGUAGGUGGCGAGCGUUGUCCGGAAUUACUGGGUGUAAAGGGCGUGUAGGCGGGUACACAAGUCAGAUGUGAAAUACCGUGGCUUAACCACGGGGCUGCAUCUGAAACUGUAUUUCUUGAGGGUCUGAGAGGAAAGUGGAAUUCCCUGUGUAUCGGUGAAAUGCGUAGAUAUUGGGAGGAACACCAGUGGCGAAGGCGACUUUCUGGACGAUAACUGACGCUGAGGCGCGAA